rnacentral:rRNA from 1 species
UGCAUGUGAUGCAGAGGUGCUGGCCACAGGAGGCAAAAUUAAGAGUUCCUGAUGGCCACCACAUCAUCCAUGCUUAUGGCUUCACGAAAUGGAGAAGGUAUGGUAUUUUACAAAUGGCGUUGCACUAACAACCAUUAAAACCAUAUAUUUUUAAAUAUUGUAGGAGAAGCGUAUAAACACAAUUCACUUCACUAAGAAUAGAUCAAACUAAUCUUUUAUAAUGGUUUGUAUUGACAAUACAAUACAAUACAAGCCUGAGAAAUGGCUACCACAUCCAAGGCCACGGGUAACGGGAAUCAGGGUUCGAUUCCGGAAGAGGGAGCCUGAGAAAUGGCUACCACAUCCAAGGAAGGCAGCAGGCGCGCAAAUUACCCAUUUACCGACACGGUGAGGUAGUUGACAAAAAUAACGAUGCAGGUCUCUUUCGAGCCUGUAAUCGGAAUGAACUUAUCCUAAACACAUGGGUGAGGACCCAUUGGAGGGCAAGUCUGGUGCCAGCAGCCGCGGUAAUUCCAGCUCCAAUAGCGUAUAUUAAAUUUGCUGCAGUUAAAAAGCUCGUAGUGGGAUUCCGGGGAGUGGCUGGCGGUCCGCCGCGAGGCGAGCUACCGCCUGUCCCAGACCCUGCCUCCCGGCGCCCCCCGGAUGCCCUUGGUUGGGUGUCCGGUCCUCAGGGGUCCGGAGCGUUUACUUUGAAAAAAUCAGAGUGUUCAAAGGGGCACCAAACCGCCUGAAUGGCCUGGAGCUAGGAAUAUGGAAUAGGACUCCGGUUCUAUUUUGUGGGUUCUGAACCAGGGCCAUGAUUAAGAGGGACGGGCGGGGGGCAUUCGUAUUGCGCCGCUAGAGGUGAAAUUCUUGGACCGGCGCAAGACGGACGAAAGCGAAAGCAUUUGCCAAGAAUGUUUUCAUUAAUCCAAGAACGAAAGUCGAAGGUUCGAAGACGAUCAGAUACCCGUCGUAGUUUCCGACCGUAAACUAUGCCGACCCGCGAUCCGGCGGCGUUUAUUCCCAUGACCCGCGCCGGGCAGCGUGCGGGGAAACCAGAGUCUUGGGUUCCGGGGGGAGUAUGGUUGCAAAACUGAAGAAACUUAAAGGAAUUGACGGAAGGCGCACACCAGGAGGUGGAGCCUGCGGCUUAAUUUGACUCAACACGGGGAACCUCACCCGGCCCGGACACGGAAAGGAUUGACAGACUGAUGGCUCUUUCUCGAUUCUGUGGGUGGUGGGGCAUGGCCGUUCUUAGUUGGGGGAGUGGCAUGGCCGUUCUUAGUUGGUGGAGUGAUUUGUCUGGUUAAUUCCGAUAACGAACGAGAUCUUCGUGCUAAAUAGUUACGCGGCCCCCCGCGGUCGCGGUUAACUUCUUAGAGGGACCAGUGGCGUAUAGCCACGCGAGAUGGAGCAAUAACAGGUCUGUGAUGCCCUUAGAUGUCCGGGGCUGCACGCGCGCCACAAUGGCCGGGCCAGCGUGUGCCUACCCUACGCCGAGAGGCGCGGGUAAUCCGCUUAAACCCGUUCGUGACGGGGAUUGGGGAUUGAAUUAUUCCCCAUGAACGAGGAAUUCCCAGUAAGUGCGGGUCAUCAGCUCGCGCUGAUUAAGUCCCUGCCCUUUGUACACACCGCCCGUCGCUACUACAUUGGAUGUGGUUAUGUGAGGUCCUCGGAUCGGCCACGCCGGGGCUCCUUCGCGGGGCCUUGGUGCUGUGCUGAAAAGUCGAUCGAACUUGAUCAUCUAGAGGAAGUAAAAGUCGUAACAAGGUUUCCGUAGGUGAACCUGCGGAAG